CCUACGGUGGCUGCAGUGGGGAAUAUUGGACAAUGGGCGAAAGCCUGAUCCAGCCAUGCCGCGUGUGUGAAGAAGGCCUUCGGGUUGUAAAGCACUUUCAGUGGGGAAGAAAGCCUUGGGGCUAAUACCCUCGAGGAAGGACAUCACCCACAGAAGAAGCACCGGCUAACUCCGUGCCAGCAGCCGCGGUAAUACGGAGGGUGCGAGCGUUAAUCGGAAUUACUGGGCGUAAAGCGCGCGUAGGCGGUCUGAUAAGCCGGUUGUGAAAGCCCCGGGCUCAACCUGGGAACGGCAUCCGGAACUGUCAGGCUAGAGUGCAGGAGAGGAAGGUAGAAUUCCCGGUGUAGCGGUGAAAUGCGUAGAGAUCGGGAGGAAUACCAGUGGCGAAGGCGGUCUUCUGGACUGACACUGACGCUGAGGUGCGAAAGCGUGGGUAGCAAACAGGAUUAGAUACCCGGGUAGUC
rnacentral:rRNA from 1 species